GAAGUGUAGUCGGAUGGUAACAAAGAGAGGGAAGGUAGUCAGAACUGAGGGGACUGAACUACCAGAAGGCAACAUUGCAGAUGUAACAUAUGUGUUAAAUACUUGUGAAUUUCACUCAAAACACCUUUUUUUUGGAUUAAAUAUGUCAUUUUUGCAUCUCAGUCUCCUACCUGUGUGAUCUGAGUCUGUGUGCGUUCGUGUGUGUGUGCGCUGCGUAGUGACGUAGGCGCGUGCAUGUGUGCCCCGGUCACAGCUCCUUUCAGCAUGGCCGGAGGUAAGUCACUGCCACGUUGCUCUCUGCUAAUUAAAGUUUGUUCAGAGCCCAAGCUGCAAUGUGAAUACAGCCGAACCGCAGCAUUUUUGUUUCUCAUUAAGAGAUUAAUUCGGGAUAAGUUUUGUGGAGGGCGGAGUUCGCUAAUAUAUGUUUUUAAUGAGUUUUAGCCGAGAACGCAGCUGAAAUGCUAGCAUGCUAAGUUAGCCUGAUCGCUAGCGGCUAGUGAGCGUACUCGCGGCAGUCGUUUUUUUAACAGCGUGCACUCUUUUUUCCUUCGUCAGGAGAGGUGCACUGGCAGACGCAUGACACACACAGAUCAGACUAUUUCUGUGUUGCAGGGCUUAAGUUAAUGUUUUAAAACGAUUUGUUGUAUUUGAUUUAUUAUAUUAUUGUAGUGUAAAUGAAGCUGCAGACACAGCUCCUUUCAGCAUGGCCGGAGGAGAGGUGCACUGGCAGACGCAUGACACACACAGAUCAGACUAUUUCUGUGUUGCAGAUAUACAGUAAAGAGCCAAAGACCCAG